rnacentral:rRNA from 1 species
GACGAACGCUGGCGGCGCGCUUAACACAUGCAAGUCGAGCGAGAACCAGGGCUUCGGCCCUGGGGACAGCGGCGAACGGGUGAGUAACACGUGGGUAAUCUGCCCUCGGCAUCGGGAUAGCCCGGGGAAACCCGGAUUAAUACCGGAUAGCCUCCGGAGCCUUCGGGCGCCGGAGAAAAGGUAGCUUCGGCCCUUGGCCGAGGAUGAGCCCGCGGCGGAUUAGCUUGUUGGCGGGGUAAGGGCCCACCAAGGCGACGAUCCGUAGCUGGUCUGAGAGGACGAUCAGCCACACUGGGACUGAGACACGGCCCAGACUCCUACGGGAGGCAGCAGUGGGGAAUCUUGCGCUAAUGCGGGAAACCGUGACGCAGCGACGCCGCGUGGGGGAAGAAGGCCUUCGGGUUGUAAACCUCUUUCAGGAGGGACGAAGCUACUCGGGUGAAUAGCCCAGAGGGUGACGGUACCUCCAGAAGAAGCCCCGGCUAACUACGUGCCAGCAGCCGCCUAACAC